GAUGAACGCUAGCUACAGGCUUAACACAUGCAAGUCGCGGGGCAGCAUGGGGGUUGCUUGCAAUCCCCGAUGGCGACCGGCGCACGGGUGAGUAACGCGUAUCCAACCUGCCCUUCACCACGGGAUAACCCGGCGAAAGUCGGACUAAUACCGUAUGUUGUCCAUUGACGGCAUCCGAUUUGGACGAAAGGCUUGGCGGGGAGGGGUGGGGAUGCGUCCGAUUAGCCAGACGGCGGGGUAACGGCCCACCGUGGCUACGAUCGGUAGGGGUUCUGAGAGGAAGGUCCCCCACACUGGAACUGAGACACGGUCCAGACUCCUACGGGAGGCAGCAGUGAGGAAUAUUGGUCAAUGGGCGUAAGCCUGAACCAGCCAAGUAGCGUGCAGGAUGACGGCCCUAUGGGUUGUAAACUGCUUUUAUGCGGGGAUAAAGUGGCCCACGUGUGGGCUUUUGCAGGUACCGCAUGAAUAAGGACCGGCUAAUUCCGUG
rnacentral:rRNA from 1 species